AGAAUCAACGCUGGCGGCGCGCUUAACACAUGCAAGUCGAACGAGAAAGUCCGCAAGGAUGAGUAAAGUGGCGCACGGGUGAGUAACACGUGGAUCAUCUGCCUCCGAGUGGGGAAUAACUCUGGGAAACCGGAGCUAAUACCGCAUAACACUGUGAGGUCAAAGCCGAAAGGCGCUUGGAGAGGAGUCCGCGGCCGAUUAGCUAGUUGGUAGGGUAAAGGCCUACCAAGGCGAUGAUCGGUA
rnacentral:rRNA from 1 species